rnacentral:lncRNA from 1 species
GUUGAUACAACCUAUGAAAAUCACAAGAAUGUGACACAUACACGAACUCACGAAGUAAAGGCUAGUUUCGUUUGUGUAGGUGUACUUCACAAACUGUUCAAUAUAACUCACUAGGGCCAAUGAUUUUCAGGUAUAUAUUAUUUUCUUAACUUUCUCUCUUAUAAAUUGGUAGUAUUACAUUAUUAUAAUUUACAAACUAAGCUAAGUGAUGUAUAAUUUACAUUAUUAUAAUUUGUUACAGUUUUGGGAACUUAAAAAUGUAGUAUAACCUUUAUUUGAGGUCUGUGUUCAAAAAAAAAAAAAAAACCUUUAUUUGAGGUCAUCCCAAGAGUGCCUACGUUGAUUAACAAAGAAACCGUUCACACAAAUGCAAUGUAAUAAAAUUUCACAUUUGGUUCUUGUCCUAUAUAAUAUCCAAUCACUGACUACUAUUAAUUACAUACCGAAUAUAAAAAAAACACUCAAUAACUUAUUACAAUUCUCUAAUAAAAAAUGUGGAUGAUCAACAAGUUUUUCUUCCUUCUUCCAGUUGCAUGCAUGGCCGUGUUGGGUACAGCUCAAACGUUGCCUUCGCAGCCUAUACCUGGACAGGACCCAAUAGAUUGUAUGUCAUCCCUGUAUGCUAUUCCGAACUGUCUCCAAGAAAUUGCCCAACCGUUUGUAAACGGAGAAUUCGGGACUAUCGGUCACUCUUGUU